GUCCCUUCGGGGACAUCUGAUAAAAAAGGAACAAUACACAGAAGAUUAGCAUGGCCCCCCUCCUCAAGGGUGACACACACAAAUCGAGAAAUGGUCUAAAUUUCC